UACAGAGGUCCCAAGCGUUGUCCGGAAUCAUUGGGCGUAAAGGGCGCGUAGGUGGCCCCUCAAGCGUGCGGUGAAAGUCAGGGGCUCAACCCCUGAUCGGCCGUGCGAACUGGGGAGCUUGAGCACUGUAGAGGCAGGCGGAAUUCCGGGUGUAGCGGUGGAAUGCGUAGAGAUCCGGAAGAACACCGGUGGCGAAGGCGGCCUGCUGGGCAGUUUUGCUGACACUGAGGCGCGACAGCGUGGGGAGCAAACAGG
rnacentral:rRNA from 1 species